rnacentral:rRNA from 1 species
AUUGAACGCUGGCGGCAUGCCUUACACAUGCAAGUCGAACGGCAGCAUGAUCUAGCUUGCUAGAUUGAUGGCGAGUGGCGAACGGGUGAGUAAUUCAUCGGAACGUGCCCUGUAGUGGGGGAUAACUAGUCGAAAGAUUAGCUAAUACCGCAUACGACCUGAGGGUGAAAGUGGGGGACCGCAAGGCCUCAUGCUAUAGGAGCGGCCGAUGUCUGAUUAGCUAGUUGGUGAGGUAAAGGCUCACCAAGGCGACGAUCAGUAGCUGGUCUGAGAGGACGAUCAGCCACACUGGGACUGAGACACGGCCCAGACUCCUACGGGAGGCAGCAGUGGGGAAUUUUGGACAAUGGGCGAAAGCCUGAUCCAGCAAUGCCGCGUGUGUGAAGAAGGCCUUCGGGUUGUAAAGCACUUUUGUCCGGAAAGAAAUGGCUCUGGUUAAUACCUGGGGUCGAUGACGGUACCGGAAGAAUAAGGACCGGCUAACUACGUG